AUGUCCAAAAGCGGAAGUGUCACAUGCAUCUUUCCAUUUCCCCUGAAAACCGGAACAACCAGUUGUUGGGGACUCAGCAGAGGCUAGGGCGGAGUAAACGCUCUCGCUUUGCCUCUUCCUCUCUGGCUAUACUUUCAACAGUGCCCACACAGACCGAAGGAGCGUUACAAGAUUUGUUGAAGUAGAGUUACCACAUGUUUUGUGGUGUUGUCAAUAUUCAGACAUGUUCCACGUCUCCUCACUGGCUCCCCUCCAGGGCAAACUGUGAUGGUCAUCUGCUGAUGUUUACAAGGUUGUCACGACUUCCUCCGAAGCUGCCUCCUCUCCUGG